rnacentral:rRNA from 1 species
CACUCCUACGGGAGGCAGCAGUGGGGAAUAUUGGACAAUGGGCGCAAGCCUGAUCCAGCCAUGCCGCGUGAGUGAUGAAGGCCCUAGGGUUGUAAAGCUCUUUCACCGGUGAAGAUAAUGACGGUAACCGGAGAAGAAGCCCCGGCUAACUUCGUGCCAGCAGCCGCGGUAAUACGAAGGGGGCUAGCGUUGUUCGGAUUUACUGGGCGUAAAGCGCACGUAGGCGGACUAUUAAGUCAGGGGUGAAAUCCCGGGGCUCAACCCCGGAACUGCCUUUGAUACUGGUAGUCUUGAGUUCGAGAGAGGUGAGUGGAAUUCCGAGUGUAGAGGUGAAAUUCGUAGAUAUUCGGAGGAACACCAGUGGCGAAGGCGGCUCACUGGCUCGAUACUGACGCUGAGGUGCGAAAGCGUGGGGAGCAAACAGGAUUAGAUACCCCGGUAGUCCC